rnacentral:rRNA from 1 species
CCUACGGGAGGCAGCAGUGAGGAAUAUUGGUCAAUGGCCGAGAGGCUGAACCAGCCAAGUCGCGUGAGGGAAGACGGCCCUACGGGUUGUAAACCUCUUUUGUCGGGGAGCAAAGCGAGUCACGUGUGACUCAUUGAGAGUACCCGAAGAAAAAGCAUCGGCUAACUCCGUGCCAGCAGCCGCGGUAAUACGGGGGAUGCGAGCGUUAUCCGGAUUUAUUGGGGUUAAAGGGUGCGCAGGCGGAGGUGCAAGUCAGCGGUAAAAUUGCGGGGCUCAACCCCGUACUGCCGUUGAAACUGCAUCCCUUGAGUGCGCGAGAAGUGUGCGGAAUGCGUGGUGUAGCGGUGAAAUGCAUAGAUAUCACGCAGAACUCCGAUUGCGAAGGCAGCAUACCGGCGCGCAACUGACGCUCAUGCGCGAAAGCGUGGGUAUCGAACAGGAUUAGAUACACUAGUAGUC